UAAACUAGGAUUAGAUACCCUAUUAUAAUUAAAUGUAAAGUUUAUUGGUUAAGGGAGUAAUAGUUAUGUUCUUGAAAUUUAAAAAAUUUGGCGGUAUUUCAGUCUUUUUAGAGGAACCUGUUUCGUUAUUGAUAGUCCACGAUUAAUCGUACUUGUUUUAAAAGUUUGUAUAUCGUCGUAGUUGAAUAUCUCAGGAGAGAUAAAUAUUCUUGAUUUAUUUUAUAAAGGAAAGCAGAUCAAGGUGCAGCUUAUAGAUAAGAGUAUAAUGGGUUACAAUAAAUUUAUUUAUACGGUUGAUACAAUUAAAAUUGUAUUUUAAGGCGGAUUUAAAAGUAAUAUGAUUGAAUUAAUUUAUAUGAUUAUUAGCUCUGAAAUAUGCACAUAUUGCCCGUCGCUUUCAUGUUAAUGAAAUAAGUCGUAACAAAGUAAGUGUACUGGAAAGUGUACUUAGAGUGACAAGUUGGAGCUAAAGCAUUUUAUUUACAUUAAAAAGUUAACUGUUGAUUCAGUUCAGUUUGAGUUUAUUAAUUUAUUUUUUUUUUUAAAAAAAAAUUAUUUUGGAUAAUAAAUUUUUUUGAUAAAUUUUUUUUAUUUAAAGUAAAUAAAAAAAGGGGGGGAGGGUUAAAAAAUUUUAAAAAAAUGGAAUUUUUUAAAAAAAAAAUUAAUUUUUUGUCCCUGUGUAUCAGGGUUUAUUAAAUAAAGUUUAUUUAUAUUUAUUUUCUCGAAUUAAAAAGAGCUAAAAGGAAAUAUAUUUUAUUGUUAAAUUAAUAUUUAUAAUUUCUUUUUAGUAAUGAAACGUUAUUCGUUUUUUAAUAUAUCUAGUUUUUUAAGAAAUAAAUUUAAUUUAGUUGUUUUUUUUAAUUGUUUUUAAUUUAAAAAUUUUUUAAUUGAACCGUAAAUGUUUUAGGGGAUGAGCUCUGAAUCAAAUUGUUAUAAAGAGAAGGGUUGUAUAAAAUUUUAUAGAAUUAAUAAUUUUUAUUUAUAAAGUGUUAUAAUUAAUUUUUAAUGUUAUUUUAAUUUUUAUUUUUUUUAACUUUUUUAUUAAAACUAUUUAUUUAAUUUUUUAUUAGAUAUGAUAAUGAUAAAAUUAGUAUAAUUUUUGUAAAGAUAAUUUUUAAUUUUAAGGUUACUUUAAGGAACUCGGCAAAUAUAUUUUCCGCCUGUUUAUUAAAAACAUGUCUUUUUGAUUAUAAUUUAAAGUCUAAUCUGCCCAAUGAAUUAUUGAAUGGCUGCGGUAUUUUGACCGUACAAAGGUAGCAUAAUAAUUAGUUUUUUAAUUGGAAACUGGUAUGAACGAUUGGACGAGAAAAUUUCUGUCUCGAUUUAAUUUAAUUAGAAUUUUAUUUUUAAGUUAAAAAGCUUAAAUUUUAUUAAAAGACGAGAAGACCCUAUAGAGUUUAAUAUUAAUAAUAUUGAAAUAUUUUUUGGUAUCAUUAGGAUUUUAUUUUUUUUAGUAUUUUGUUGGGGUGACAGGAAAAUUUGAUUAACUUUUCUUUUUUUUUUACAUUGAUUUAUGAUUUUUUGAUCCUUUAUUUUUGAUUAUAAGAUAAAAUUACCUUAGGGAUAACAGCGUAAUUUUUUUUGAAAGUUCUUAUUGAAAAAAAAGUUUGCGACCUCGAUGUUGGAUUAAAAUAGGAGUUUGGUGCAGUAAUCAUUCUUCUGGGUCUGUUCGACCUUUGAAAUUUUACAUGAUCUGAGUUCAAAACCGGAGA
rnacentral:rRNA from 1 species